rnacentral:rRNA from 1 species
GACAGAGGGUGCAAACGUUGUUCGGAAUUAUUGGGCGUAAAGCGCAUGUAGGCGGUUUCGCAAGUCGGGUGUGAAAGCCCAGGGCUCAACCCUGGAAGUGCACUCGAUACUACGGAGCUGGAGUCUUGAAGAGGAGAGCGGAAUUCCCGGUGUAGAGGUGAAAUUCGUAGAUAUCGGGAGGAACACCAGUGGCGAAGGCGGCUCUCUGGGCAAUGACUGACGCUGAGAUGCGAAAGCGUGGGGAGCAAACAGG